GACGAACGCUGGCGGCGUGCUUAACACAUGCAAGUCGAACGGAAAGGCCCUGCGUUUGUGUUUUGCUCGAUUGGCGAACGGGGGAGUAACACGUGAGUAACCUGCCCUUGGCUGUGGGAUAACUUCAGGAAACUUGGGCUAAUACCGGAUAGGAGCUGCUGCUUCAUAGUGGGGGUCGGAAAGAUUCGGCGGUUGGGGAUGGUGUAGCGGCUGAUCAGCUUGUUGGUGGGGUAGUGGCUUACCAAGGCUUUGACGGGUAGCCGGCCUGAGAGGGUGAACGGCCACAUUGGGCCUGCGGUAGGGCGCAGAAGGCUACCGGACGCAGUAGUGGGGAAUCUUACACAAUGGGCGCAAGUCUGAUGCAGAAACGUCGGGUGCGGGAAGACGGCUUGUGGGUUGAAAACCGGUUUCGCAUGUGACGAAGUGACCGUGACGGUACUGGGCAAAAAAGCCACGGCUAACUACGUG
rnacentral:rRNA from 1 species